rnacentral:lncRNA from 1 species
GUGCGGGGGCGGGAUUCGGGCCGCGGGGACGCGCGGGGACGCGCGGGGACGCGCCGAGCCGGCCUCGCCCGCGCCGCCGCCGCCGCCGCCGCCGCCGCCGCCGCCGCCCCGGGUUGCAGGGGUUACGUCACGCCCAGGCCGUUCUGGGUCGGGGCCGCGCGGGGCGGAGCCUGCGGGACCCCGGGAAGGCCCCCCGGACCCCGGCCUCAGGGCGCCCCUCUGCUCCAGCUCUGGGUUCGGUGCGCCCCAGUCGGCCCCGCAGGGCAAAGCCAGUACCGGAAGCGGACGGCGCAGCUGCGGGCACGCGGAGCUGCUGUCCUCGGAUCCCCCCAGGCUGCCGAGGACCGGGCGUCGUCGCAAGUAUCUCGGGUCGUAAGUGUUGGGUGGAGUCAGCCCGUGGGUGGCCUGCGGCGAGGGCUGAGCUGGGGGUCGCUUAGGCACGUCCCUUGUGCCCCCGCCGAGUCAGGAGCCUGCCUGCCUGCUUCCUGCCCAACUGCCCGUCUGCCCACCUGCCCACCUGCCUUCCUGCCCAUCUGCCUGCUUGCUUGCUUCCUUCCUUCCUUCCUCCUUGCCUCCCUGCUUCCUUCCUUCCUUCCUGCUUGCCUCCCUGCCCCUCCCUCCCUCCCUCCCUUCCUUCCUUCCUUCCUUCCUUCCUUCCUUCCUUCCUUCCUUCCAGCUUCCUUUCUUCCUUCUUGCUUCCUUUCUUCCUUCCUUCUUGCCUCCCAGCUUGCUUGCUUGCUUCCUUCCUGCUUGCCUCCCUGCUUGCUUCCUUCCUUCCUUCCUUCCUUCCCUCCUUCCUUCCUUCUUUCCUUCCUUCCUUCUUGCCUCCCAGCUUGCUUGCUUCCUUCCUUCUUGCCUCCCAGCUUGCUUGCUUGCUUCCUUCCUUCCUUCUUGCUUCCUUCCUUCCUUCCUUCUUUCCUUCCUGCUUGCCAGCUUCCUUCCUUCCUUCCUUUUUCCUUCCUUCCUUCCUGCCUGCCUGCCUGCCUGCCAGCUUCCUUCCUUCCUUCUUGCUUCCUUUCUUCCUUCCUUCUUGCCUGCCAGCUUGCUUGCUUCCUGCUUGCCUCCUUCCUCCCUUCCUUCCUUCCUUCCUUCCAGCUUCCUUCCUUCCUUCUUGCUUCCUUUCUUCCUUCCUUCUUGCCUCCCAGCUUGCUUGCUUCCUUCCUUCCUUCUUGCCUGUCUCCUUUCUUCCUGCCUUCCUUCCUGCCUUCCUUCUUUCCUUCCUGCUUGCCAGCUUCCUUCCUCCUUCCUUCCUUCCUUCCUUCCUUUCUUCCUUCCCUCCUUCCAGCUUCCUUCCUUCCUUCUUGCUUCCUUUCUUCCUUCCUUCUUGCCUGCCAGCUUGCUUGCUUGCUUGCUUCCUGCUUGCCUCCUUCCUUCCUUCCUUCUUUCCUUCCUUCCUUCCUUCCUUCCUUCCUUCCUUCCUUCCUUCUUGCCACCCUGCCUCCUUCCUUCCUGCCUACCUGCCUUCCUUCCUUUCUUCCUGCCUUCCUUUCUUCCUUCUUGCUUCCUUCCUUCUUGCUUCCUUCCUUCCUUCCUUCUUGCCUGCCAGCUUGCUUGCUUCCUUCCUUCCUGCUUGCCUCCCUGCCUUCCUUCCUUCUUGCUUCCUUUCUUCCUUUCUUUCUUCUUGCCAGCCUGCAUUCUUCCUUCCUGCCUGUCUGCCUUCCUUCCUUCCUUUCUGCCUUCCUUCUUCCUGCUUGCCUCCCUUCCUUCCUCCUCCCUCCCUCCCUCCCUCCCUCCCUCCCUCCCUUCCUUCCUUCCUUCCUUCCCGUCAUCUCUCUCCUCUGCAUUUCUCUGUCCGUUUCUCUGUUCUUAUACUUGGCACAGUGCGUUUUGUAUGAGUUUAUGUGCCUUUCCCAGCAAAUGGUGUUUCUGAGUAGAUCUACGUCUUCCCCACAGGAGGUAUUCCAGAACUGUGAACAUAAUAGACACUCCAUUUUUAAAAGCCUUAAAAACACAGGAGAAAGCUGUGUUAAAGCACAGUGGUGCUUUAGCCAAAUGACCAUUCUGCAGAGAUGGUGCUCAGUGGCAGGGUGCCUGUAA